GGAGUUAGCCGGUGCUUCUUCUGUGAGUGAUGUCCUUCCUGCCGGUUAUUGACCCGCAGGCCUUCUUCCUCACUGAAAGUGCUUUACAACCCGAAGGCCUUCUUCACACACGCGGCAUGGCUGGAUCAGGGUUGCCCCCAUUGUCCAAUAUUCCCCACUGCUGCCUCCCGUAGGAGUCUGGGCCGUGUCUCAGUCCCAGUGUGGCUGAUCAUCCUCUCAGACCAGCUACGGAUCGUCGCCUUGGUGAGCCGUUACCUCACCAACCAGCUAAUCCGACAUAGGCUCAUCCGAUAGCGCGAGGCCCGAAGGUCCCCCGCUUUCCCCCGUAGGGCGUAUGCGGUAUUAUCCUGGGUUUCCCCAGGUUAUCCCCCACUACCGGGCAGAUUCCUAUGCAUUACUCACCCGUCCGCCGCUCGCCACCAGGGAGCAAGCUCCCCGUGCUGCCGCUCGACUUGCAUGUGUUAGGCCUGCCGCCAGCGUUCAAUCUGAGCCAGAAUCAAACUCUGA
rnacentral:rRNA from 1 species